AUGGCGCUCCUCCGCGCCGGGGCCGCCCCGCUCCCUUCCCGCCCCUCCGGCCGCCGCCUCCCGCGUUCGCGCCUCGGCCCGCGGCCUGGCCCUGCAGCCGGUGCGCGGCGGGGUCCGUGCGCCCCCGGGGAGCCUGUCCUUGCGGUCCCGCUCUUCCCGCUGCUGUCCAGGGUCACCGAGGCCGCGGGACCCCGUCGCCUCCACCCGGGCCCUGAAUUUACCGUCCGAGAGCCGGCCGCACUCGGGGCCCCGGGAGAAGCGCGCUCGCCCCGACGCGCGCUGCGGAGCUGUGGCCUGGAGGAAGCCUGGCAGGUGUCACCAGAGCUUUGGAGACAUGGGGCUCUGCCGGGGAAGCCCAGUGGGAGUCAUGAAGGAGGGAACAUGUGUGGAGCCCUUGUAGGGGGGACAGUGUGGUUGGCGGGGUGCACAGGCAGGGACCUCGCUGGGCUUUCCUGUCCACUGGGCAUGGACCAGCAGCCCAGGAGGAGGCAGCAAGUGGCCGGGCACAGGGAUGUGCCAACCCCUGCCCCCAGGGGAGCUGGGGACAGGGGGGUCGCAGACACUCUAUUCUCAGGUUGUGAUUUACUGGGGGGUCGUGGGUAAAAUGGAGAGGCUUUUGGGGAGAAAUUCCUGGCUCUGUGGUGCACUUGCAGAGCUCAAGAGGCAGCCACGUGGUGGAAGGUGCAAGGAACAUCAAUAAGGCUUUGGGCCCUGUAGGUGGGGCUGCCAUGAGCAGCAAGCUCAGUCCAGAAGAGCAGUUCCUCUCCAGCAUCCACUUCCUGCUUAUACGUUGAAAGUAGCUGGAGCAGAGCACCUGGAAUUCCACAGGCAGCUAAAAGCUCUGGAGAGCAAUGCAGGCCAGCCAGGGAUCCAGCGUCUCCCCCAGGAUCACGCUCCACAGCCUACCCCCCGCACUGCUCGUUAGUGCAUUAUCAUGUCUACUUGGCCCCAGCCCCGUCCCAAUGGCUUGGCUUGUUCCAAGCACUGCAUUCUCCAGCUGCGGUUUUGGCUACAGUGCUGUCUGCUCCCCACGUUGGGCAACUCCAGCCGAGAUUCCUACACUCACAUGUGACUGUGUUGCCCAAGGAGAAACCUCAGCUUUGGGUGUGCCAAGCCAUGUGCACAGCUCGUCCCAACCCCCACAGGCCCACCUGCCUCUCCCACCUCCCGUCCUCCCCUGUGAUGAGCAGAUGCCCACCACCCUCUAGGGUUUGGCCGAGCAUGUGCCUGCCCUCUGGCCAUGGUUGAGCCUGCCAUGUACCUGCACACAGGAGGGGCUCCUGGUGUUUGCCCUACACAAUGGGCUGUCUGGGAGCUGCUCAAGAGUUACCUUGGUGAGGAUGCCAGAGGCCUGGAUUCCCCCAGCCAGCCUCAGUUUCCACGUGAGUCGUUUUGCCCAUCACAUGAGACAACUUAGUGUUGGGGUAAAACUCAGCCCACCCUAAGGAAGCAUUGGCGUUUUGGAUGGAUGAAUGCUGCUUCAUGUGACUCCAUUUCAAUGGACUCUAUUUAUUCAACGAAGAUAUUUCUGUGAGUCUCCUCUGUUCCAGCCACGUGUGAAAGAAAAACGCCAAGUUGCUUGACACUGGGACAAACCAGGAAGUUCACUGCGUCUGGUUCCUCCUCCUCUGCCAACUCUCCUAGGCCACCGUUCCGAUUCCUGGCACAGAGUGGGGGACAAGCUCCUCAGUACCCAGAGCUUCCGGCGUGUAGCCAAAGGCCUCCAGUUCAGUGCCACGCUCAAGACGAGGGCCACCCUAUUCACAUACCUCAAAUACAGAAAGUGCCUGGAAAUGUUGAUAAGGUAUUAAAGGAAACCACUGGGUUGUCAGUCAUGUACACACAGGAAGAAAAAAAACAGUCGUCUUUUUUUUUUAAGACAGAGUUUCGCUCUUGUUGCCCGGGCUGGAGUACAGUGGCGUCAUCCCAGCUCACCGCGACCUCCGCCUCCUGGGUUCAAGCAAUGCUCCUGUCUCAGCCUCUCUAGUAGCUGGGAUUGCAGGUGCCCGUCACCACACCCCCCUAAUUUUUUGUAUUUUUAGUAGAGACAGGGUUUCACCAUCUUGGCCAGGCUGGUCUUGAACUCCUGACCUCAGGUAAUUCACCCACCUUGGCCCCCCCACAGUGCUGGGAUUGCAGGUGUGAGCCAUUGCGCCCAGCCAAAAAAAAAAAUUUUUCAUACUAAAAUGAUGAACAAGUAAACUUGAAACAAAAAUGGACAAAUACCUAAAAUAUUUUUAAAUGUAUUUAUUUUAAUUGGCACAUAAUAAUUGUAUACAUUGAUUGUUUACAAUUUGUUUUAACUUAUGUAUACAUUGUGAACUGGCUAAAUCAAGUUAAUUAGCAUGCAUUCACUCACAUACUUGUUUUUUGGGAUGGUGAGAACACUUAAAAUCUACUCUUAGCAAUUUCCAAGCACAAGAUAUGUUGUUCUUAACUAUAGUCACCAUGUUAUUAGCUAAAGUCACCAAGUCCCACUAUAGCUCCCUUGAUCGUAUUCCUCCAUGUAGCUGAAAUGUAUCCCUUGACCAGCAUCUCCACCCAGCCCCAGCCCCGGCCCCAGAUAACCACCAUUCUACCCUCUGCUUCCGUGAGUCAACUUUUGUGGAUCCCACCUGUAAGUGAGAUCAUGCAGUGUUUGUCUUUCUGUGCCUGGCUUUUUCACUUAAUGCCCCUCUGGUUCAUCCAUAUUGUCAUACGUGGCAGAAUUGUCCUCCUUGUUAAGGCUGACCGCUGAGCCAUCGCGUAUACACACCACAUCUUCUACCCAAAAUAUGUUUUAGUACAGUGGCUGAAACCUGCCACGUAACCUGUUUAAGUGCCACAGGCUUGCUUUUCAGCCACAAGAUGGGAGGACAAAUCACAUCUGCCCUGCAGGGGGAUUGCGAGCUGUGAAGCGCCACGAAGCCCAGGGGAGCCGAGAACUGAAGCCGACAGACCUGCCUUGUUACUUAAGCCCUCCAGGGCCGAGUUUCAUCAGUGAUGCAAAAGAACGCCUGUCUCGUGGGAUUGCAAAACGAUACAGAGGAUGUCUUCAUCCGUUCCGUGCUGCUGUAACAGGCUCCUACAGACUGGGUCACUUAGAGUGUGGAGAAACUUGCUGGCUUACGGUUCAGGAGGCUGGGAGGUCCAGCGUCAGGGGUCAGGGCCUUCCUGUGGCGUCAUCACGUCGCAGAAUAGCAGAAGGGCAAAGAGGAAGGAUGAUUGAGCAAGAGAGAGAAACAGAAGGGGCUGAACCCUCCCUUUUAUAACAUGCCCACCAGCCCAUUCAGGAGGGCAAAGGCCUCGGGGCCUAAUCACCUCUCGAAGGUCCCACCUAUUAAUAUCGUCACAAUGACAAUCAAACUUCUACAUGAAUUUUGGAGAGGACAGUCAUUCAAGCCAGAGCAGAGGGGGAUGGCAAGUGUUCUGAAGACAAGCCUAGAAAUUCAUCUUAGAAAUAGUGCAAAAGCAGAUUUCCACUUCUGUCUUUCCCUGUGGUGCUAAGACCCCAAAAGCCUCCCAGGACAGAGCUUGUGAACACAACACAGAAACAACAAACUUUUAAUGCAGAGCUGAGCUCACAAGGAGGUCAGGGACGUGCCGGGAGCCAGAGACAAACUGAAAACCGGGUCCUGAAGUGUGAGAGCCUGAGGGCAGCUGCCCAGCAGAGUGUUGGUCUGGAGCCUCAGGGUCUACGUCUUGACAUUCACAUGGGAAAGGAGAUGAGGCCUCCCUGGACCCACAUGAAGCAGGAACUGGAACAAGGGCACUCAAAGGGCUACACCUUCAGGAGAGAUGUGAACGAGUAGCUGUGUGCCCACAGGAACAGGAGACGAUACGAUGGUUCCAUGUUGGCUUGCCUGUUGUGGUUCUGUGAGACAGAAAGUUCUGUUGACAAUUGAUAAUCAGGGCUCACAGCCUCGUUAGACGUCAGGUAUUGAUUUUUUCUUUUUUCUUUUUUUUUUUUUUUAGAUGGAGUCUAGCUCUGUUGCCAGGCUGGAGUGCAGUGGUGUGAGCUUGGCUCACUGCAACCUCUGUCUCCCAGGUUCAAGUAGUUCUCCCAUCUCAGCCUCCCAAAUAGCUGGGAACUACAGGCACAAACCACCACACCCAGCGAAUUUUUGUAUUUUUUGGUAGGGACUGAGUUUCACCAUGUUGUGCAGGAUGGUCUCAAUCUCUUGAUCUGCCUGCCUUAGCCUCCCAGAGUGCUAGGAUUACAGGCGUGAGCCACCGCGCCCAGACUGAAUUUUUCUUUUUUGAGGCACGGUCUAGCUGUGUUGCCCAGGCUGGUCUUGAACUCCUGGGCUCAAGCAAUUCUCCUGCCUUGGCUUCCCAAAGUGCUGGGAUUACAGGCAUGAGCUACCAUGCCCAGCCUAGGUAUUGAGUUUUCACAGGUUUCACAGUCCAGACCCUACCACCCCUGCAGCAAAUAACUUGAUAUAAAACCUGAGCUCAGGCCAGUAAUACCCUUAAAGCCCAUGACAGAAGCAGGCACAGUGAUAGAAGUAAAAUCACAUAGACAUUCUCAAUCUAGCCCCCUCCAACUCCUACCCAUAAAGCCCACUGAAGAUGAGUUUACAAUCAUAAAGAACGAAACACGCAAAGAAAGAGCCACAGGAGGGAAGUCAGCAGAUGUGUGAACAGCAGGAAUGGACUCCUCCGCCAAAGGCCUUCCGAAGGUAAACUGAGCAAAUAAGAGAACAUUAAUUACGCAUGUUUUCAUGGUUAAGCAUUACAGGAAUAAAAGAAGGAAACGAACAAGAAUACGAUUCCAAGGGAGUUGGGGAAGAAUAGGCAGUUUUGAAGAACUCAAUGGAAUACCUAGAACCCAAAACUGUGCUGCUAAAAUUAACUCAAUGGAUGAGUUAAAAAGCAAUUUAGACCUAGCUGAAAACUGAAUUUGUGAUAUAUGCAGAAGUUUCUUCUCGUGCGAGGCAGAGCAUGAUGACAGAAUGAGGAGAUCCCAAAGAUUAGCGUUUCAUUCCAAACGAUUAGAAGAAUGAGGAAGCAGCAGUAUUUAUAAAGAUAAUGACUAAGAAAGUUCUAUACUUGAUGAAAAAUGUGGGAUUUUUUCAUCAUUCCCUGAUAAGAUUCAGGAAUGCUGUGAGACUCGAGCCAGGGGUAAAAAAUGAAACUGCACUUCUACAUUUAGGAGUAAAACUGCAGAAUACAAAAGAAAUGUUAAAGUGAAAAAGAAAACCACUCAGAUUACUUCAAAAGCAGUUCUCAUGAAAGCAGCCUUAUCAAUUACAAUGAUAAAAGGCAAGCAAUAGUCAAAUAUCUAUUUUUACAAAGUCACAAGAUAAAAUUAGUAACAUAGGAUUCUAUACAUAGCAUUAUUUGGUAUCUACUGGGGCAUAACAAAAUCCCCCAAAACUUGGCAGCUUAAAAAACAUUCAGUAUUUCACCAUUUCCAUGAGUCAGAAAUCCAGGUGUGGCUUAAUUGCGUACUUGCAUAUUGGCUUCUCACCAGACUGCAAUCAGGAGAUUGGCACAGCAUCUGUGGUCUCAUCCGAAGGCUUGCCUGGGAAGUCUGCAUCUGAGCUUACCCUUCAUGGGCUGUUGGGCAGAGGCACCCUCAGCUCCUGGUCAUGUAGGCUCUCCCACGGGGCAGCUCCUAUCAACAAAGCAUGCCAGACGAGGGCAACACACAGUCUUCUAGGAAGAAGAAAGCCACGGUCUUUAAAAAAAAAAAAAAAAAGGAGUAUUUGUGUAAUUACCACUUGGUUUGAGAAAUGGAGCGCUGUGUCCAUAAGUCCUCCAAAGCCCCCACCAGUAACUGCCCUCCUCCUUCUCCCCAGUACAAUUACUCCCCUCACUUCUGUCUUUUUGUCAACUUUUUUAAGUUGUGGCAAGAUGCAUAUAACUUAAAAUUACCAACUUAAUCAUUUUGAAUGUGCAGUUUGGUGGUGUUAAAUACACUCACGAUGUGCAACCGUCACCACCAUCCAUGUAGAACUCUUUCUGUCUUACAAAACUGAAACUCUGUCUCCGUUAAACAAUAAUUCCUCGUUUCCCUUCCCCUGGCCCUGGUACCCACCAUUAUACUUUCUGUUUCUGUAGUUUUGACCUCUAACUACCUCAUACAAGUGGAAUUAUGUGGUAGUUGUAUUUUCGGCAACUGGCUUAUUUCAUCUGUCACAGCGUCCUUAGGGUUCAUCCGUGUUGCAGCCUGUGUCCGAAUCUCCUCCCCUUUAAGGCUAAAUAGUAUCCCAUUGUUUAUACCACAUUCUGCUUAUUCAUUUCUCCACCGAUAAGCACGUGCGUUGUGAUAAGGUUUGGCUGUGUCCCCACCCAAAUCUCAUUUUGAAUUGUGGCUCCCACAAUUCCCACAUGUUGUGGAAGGAACCCAGUGAGAAGUAAUUUUUUUUUUUUUUUUUUUUGGAGACAGAGUUUCGCUCUCAUUACCCAGGCUGGAGUGCAAUGGCGCGAUCUCUGCUCACCGCAACCUCCGCCUCCUGGGUUCAGGCAAUUCUCCUGCCUCAGCCUCCCGAGCAGCUGGGAUUACAGGCACGCGCUACCACGCCCAGCUAAUUUUUUGUAUUUUUAGUAGAGACGGGGUUUCACCAUGUUGACCAGGAUGGUCUCGAUCUCUUGACCUCGUGAUCCACCUGCCUCGGCCUCCCAAAGUGCUGGGAUUACAGGCUUGAGCCACCACGCCUGGCCAAGAAGUAAUUGAAUCAUGGGGCAUGUCUUUCCCAUGCUAUUCUCAUGAUGGUGAAUAAAUCUCAUAAGAUCUGAUGUUUUUAUAAAGGGGAGUUUCCCUGAACAAGCACUCUUCUCUUGUCUGCUGCCAUGUGAGAUGUGCCUUUCCACCAUGAUGAUGAGGUCUCCCCAGCCAUGUGGAACUAGUUUUAGGAGCUUUCUACAUAUUAAGGACACUAAUUCCUGAUCACAUAGACCACUUGCAGCUGUUUUCUCCCGACUGAAAUGGAGUCUCACUAUGUCACCCAAGCUAUUCUUGAACUCCUGGUUUCAAGUGAUCCACUCGCCUCAGCCACCCAAAAUACUGGGAUUACGGGGCCCGUCCGUUGUUUAAGAGUCGUUUAACUUCCAGAAAUGUGUGGAUCUUACAGUUUCACCUCUGUUAUGAGUUUCUCACUUCAUCGUCCUGUGGUUGGAGAAGUUUGUACGAUACCUGCACUUGAAAAUCAACUGAGACUUAAUCUGUGGCCUAACGCUUCCAGGUUUUGCUCAGACGGCGUUCCACUCUUCUCAUCAGACUGUUGUCCCUUUAGCAGCACACUGACAUUCAUCUUUGUAAGAGUCCCAUGGAACACACCUGUCACCAGGAGGGAGUGGGGCGUGGGACUCCCGAGCCAGAUGCUGGGUUUGAUUCUAAAACCGCUACUCGCCACUCACCAGCACCACUGACCAGAAGCUCAUCUUCUCUGGGCCUGCUUUUCCUCCCUUGGAAACAGAUUAUGAUGGCAAGCACCUUCCUCAUGAGUAGCUGGAGAUUAAGAGAAUUGACGUAAAAAGGAGAUUAUGAUCCCCAUGGGUGGUUAGGACAGGGAAUGGGUUGAUGGAAAAUGGAUGACAACCCCUUCUGGGGUUUGCAGGAGAGAAGUGGAAUGAGGAACCGUGGAGAUUAUGAUCACCCUUCAUGGAUUUCAAGGGGCAGAAGAGUAUUGAUUAAAAUCGAGUUGAUGGUA